UGCCAGGACGACAAAGUGAGUUCAGGACAGUGUGUGACUUUCUGACCUCCUACAUGCCCAACUCAGAGAUAGGCUCCUAUGCUCAAGUGUGUUCUUCUGUGAGAAUAAGAAU